UACGGAGGGGGCUAGCGUUGUUCGGAAUUACUGGGCGUAAAGCGCGCGUAGGCGGACCUGCAAGUCGGGGGUGAAAGCCCGAGGCUCAACCUCGGAACUGCCUUCGAUACUGCGGGUCUCGAGUCCGGGAGAGGUGAGUGGAAUUCCUAGUGUAGAGGUGAAAUUCGUAGAUAUUAGGAAGAACACCAGUGGCGAAGGCGGCUCACUGGCCCGGUACUGACGCUGAGGCGCGAAAGCGGGGGGAGCAAACAGG
rnacentral:rRNA from 1 species